UUUGAUCCAGAACAGGUCAGAACAUGUUCGGGAACGUUCCAAACGCUUUGAUCCAGAACAGGUCGGAACAUGUUCGGGAACGUUCCAAACUCUUUGAU